UAGGGAAUCUUCCGCAAUGGACGAAAGUCUGACGGAGCAACGCCGCGUGAGCGAAGAAGGUCUUAGGAUCGUAAAGCUCUGUUGUCAGGGAAGAACAAGUGCCGUUCGAACAGGGCGGUACCUUGACGGUACCUGACGAGGAAGCCACGGCUAACUACGUGCCAGCAGCCGCGGUAAUACGUAGGUGGCAAGCGUUGUCCGGAAUUAUUGGGCGUAAAGCGCGCGCCGGCGGUUCCUUAAGUCUGAUGUGAAAUCUCGCGGCUCAACCGCGAGCGGCCAUUGGAAACUGGGGAACUUGAGUGCAGGAGAGGGGAGCGGAAUUCCACGUGUAGCGGUGAAAUGCGUAGAGAUGUGGAGGAACACCAGUGGCGAAGGCGGCUCUCUGGCCUGUAACUGACGCUGAGGCGCGAAAGCGUGGGGAGCGAACAGG
rnacentral:rRNA from 1 species